rnacentral:rRNA from 1 species
GAUGAACGCUGGCGGCGUGCCUAAUACAUGCAAGUCGAGCGAAUGGAUUAAGAGCUUGCUCUUAUGAAGUUAGCGGCGGACGGGUGAGUAACACGUGGGUAACCUGCCCAUAAGACUGGGAUAACUCCGGGAAACCGGGGCUAAUACCGGAUAACAUUUUGAACCGCAUGGUUCGAAAUUGAAAGGCGGCUUCGGCUGUCACUUAUGGAUGGACCCGCGUCGCACUAGCUAGUUGGUGAGGUAACGGCUCACCAAGGCAACGAUGCGUAGCCGACCUGAGGGGGUGAUCGGCCACACUGGGACUGAGACACGGCUCAGACUCCUACGGGAGGCAGCAGUAGGGAAUCUUCCGCAAUGGACGAAAGUCUGACGGAGCAACGCCGCGUGAGUGAUGAAGGCUUUCGGGUCGUAAAACUCUGCUGUUAGGGAAGAACAAGUGCUAGUUGAAUAAGCUGGCACCUUGACGGUACCUAACCAGAAAGCCACGGCUAACUACGUGCCAGCAGCCGCCGUAA